rnacentral:rRNA from 1 species
CUGAACUGUCAACACGAGUUGUUGCUGGUCCUCAAAUGGGGGCAUGUGCACACUCUGUUUACACAUCCACUCACACCUGUGCACACUCUGUAGUUCUGUGGUCCUGGGGACACUGUCCUCUGGCUGCGGUUCUGCAUCUUUACACACACACACUGUGACAAAGUCUAAUAGGAUGUAUGUAGCGUUCAACGCAAUAUAAUACAACUUUCAGCAACGGAUCUCUUGGCUCUCGCAUCGAUGAAGAACGCAGCGAAAUGCGAUAAGUAAUGUGAAUUGCAGAAUUCAGUGAAUCAUCGAAUCUUUGAACGCACCUUGCGCCCUUUGGCCAUUCCGAAGGGCAUGCCUGUUUGAGUAUCAUGAACACCUCAACCCUCAUGGUUUUCCAUGAUGGGCUUGGACUUUGGGGGUCUUGCUGGAUUGUAGUCAGCUCCCCUUAAAUGAAUCAGCUUGCCAGUGUUUGGUGGCAUCACGGGUGUGAUAAUUAUCUACGCUUGUGGUUUUACACCAGGUAACCUCUGACAAUGGAGGUUCACUGGAGCUCAUAAAAGUCCUCUCCUCUGUGAGGACAGCUCUUUGAAUGU